CUCAGAUCACGUAAAAUUUUAAUAGUCGAACAGACUAAAUAUUUUAAGAUCCUUCACCUAAAAUUUAUUUUAAUUCAACAUCGAGGUCGCAAACUUAGUUAUUAAUAAGAACUUGCCAACUAAAUAACGCUGUUAUCCCUAGAGUAACUACACAAAAUUAAUAUAUACUAAUAAAAAUCAUUUUCUUCAUUGAUUGCCCCAAUCAAAAAAUUAUAAAUUCUCAAGCUUCUAGGGUCUUCUCGUCCCAGAGAUUGAUAAAAGCAUUUUAACUUUUAAUUUAAAUUCAAACUUAUUAAAUAAAACCUUCUCUUUAGUUUCUACCUUUCAUUCCAGUCUCCAAUUAAAAAA
rnacentral:rRNA from 1 species